GAGCAUCAUCGUAUAACGCCAUUCUGUACAGGAGACCCUGAGAGCACAGCCCCUCACCAUGGACUGGAGCUGGAGAAUUCUCUACCUGGUGGCGGUGGCUACAGGUGUGCAUUCCCAGGUUCUGCUGGUGCAGUCUGGGGCUGAAGUGAGGAAGCCUGGGACAUCAGUGAAGAUCUCCUGCAAAGCAUCUGGAUACACAUUUACUGAUUACUAUAUGCACUGGGUGCAACAGGCUCCUGGGAAGGGGCUUGAGUGGAUGGGAAGAAUUGACCCUGAAGAUGGUGCUACAAAAUAUGCACAGAAGUUUCAGGGCAGAGUCACUCUAACAGCAGACACAUCCACAAACACAGCCUACAUGGAGCUGAGCAGUCUGAGGCCUGCAGACACAGCCAUGUAUUACUGUGCAAAGGACACAGUGAGGGGCUGUCAGCAUGAGCCCAUACACAAACCCGCUUUAGAAGAGGCUCAGAACCACCAGGGGGUGCACACUAUGCACCAUUCUGGUUUGUAUUUCCAGAAGCAGCUUGAAUGCGAGGAAGAUCUGUGUCUCAUGUGGGGAGAUGCAGGUACAGGAAACGGGUGGAUCCAGUGGAGGAUUCAUAAACUAUUCCAGGAGAAAUUGUCCCUGUAUGUUGAUCUUGGAAGACUGGAGUCAGUGUGA